GUGAAUCAUCGAAUUUUUGAACGCAAAUUGCACUCUCUGGUAUUCCGGAGAGUAUGCCUGUUUGAGGGUCAGUUUACAUAAAAAUCGGCGUGGUUGCUGCCUUUCGUUGUUACGUACCGGAUGUCGGUCGUCUUGCCUUCGGGUAAGUGACCGAAAAUUCGUCAUGAUUUUUUUCGAAAGUACUUAAAUGAGUGUAC
rnacentral:misc_RNA from 1 species